rnacentral:rRNA from 1 species
GAUGAACGCUGGCGGCGUGCCUAAUACAUGCAAGUCGAGCGAACGGACGAGAAGCUUGCUUCUCUGAUGUUAGCGUCGGACGGGUGAGUAACACGUGGAUAACCUACCUAUAAGACUGGGAUAACUUCGGGAAACCGGAGCUCAUACCGGAUAAUAUUUUGAACCGCAUGGUUCAAAAGUGAAAGACGGUCUUGCUGUCACUUAUAGAUGGAUCCGCGCUGCAUUAGCUAGUUGGUAAGGUAACGGCUUACCAAGGCAACGAUGCAUAGCCGACCUGAGAGGGUGAUCGGCAACACUGGAACUGAGACACGGUCCAGACUCCUACGGGAGGCAGCAGUAGGGAAUCUUCCGCAAUGGGCGAAAGCCUGACGGAGCAACGCCGCGUGAGUGAUGAAGGUCUUCGGAUCGUAAAACUCUGUUAUUAGGGAAGAACAUAUGUGUAAGUAACUGUGCACAUCUUGACGGUACCUAAUCAGAAAGCCACGGCUAACUACGUG